rnacentral:rRNA from 1 species
AUUGAACGCUGGCGGCAUGCUUUACACAUGCAAGUCGGACGGCAGCGGGGUAGUGCUUGCACUACUGCCGGCGAGUGGCGAACGGGUGAGUAAUAUAUUGGAACGUACCGAGUAAUGGGGGAUAACCAAUCGAAAGAUUGGCUAAUACCGCAUACGCUCUGAGGAGGAAAGCAGGGGACCUUCGGGCCUUGCGUUAUUCGAGCGGCCAAUAUCUGAUUAGCUAGUUGGUGGGGUAAAGGCCUACCAAGGCGACGAUCAGUAGCGGGUCUGAGAGGAUGAUCCGCCACACUGGGACUGAGACACGGCCCAGACUCCUACGGGAGGCAGCAGUGGGGAAUUUUGGACAAUGGGCGCAAGCCUGAUCCAGCCAUGCCGCGUGUCUGAAGAAGGCCUUCGGGUUGUAAAGGACUUUUGUUAGGGAAGAAAAAGGAGCGGUUAAUACCCGUUUC